rnacentral:lncRNA from 1 species
CUGACAGGAUCGACGAAGUAAUCGAGUUUCCUCUCCCUGGUGAAGAAGAACGCUUCAAGCUCCUCAAGCUCUAUCUCAACAAGUACCUAAUGGGUGAAGACAAGAAAGGUGAGAAAGACUCGAACCUUAAAUGGAGCAACUUGUUCAAGAAAAAGAAGUCACAGAAGAUAACCAUUGAAGGAGACCUAACCGACCAAGUGAUCAAAGAAGCUGCAAAAAAGACAGAAGGCUUCUCUGGUCGUGAAAUCGCUAAGCUUGUCGCCGGCGUUCAAGCUGCGGUAUACGGACGACC